UUUAAAAAAUCAAAUUAUUUUGUGAUUGUUUUCGACACAAUUUUAGGCUUAAGUCUUUUAAAU
rnacentral:tRNA from 1 species